AUUGAACGCUGGCGGCAGGCCUAACACAUGCAAGUCGAGCGGAUGAAGGGAGCUUGCUCCUGGAUUCAGCGGCGGACGGGUGAGUAAUGCCUAGGAAUCUGCCUGGUAGUUGGGGAUAACGUCCGGAAACGGGCGCUAAUACCGCAUACGUCCUGAGGGAGAAAGUGGGGGAUCUUCGGACCUCACGCUCUCAGAUGAGCCUAGGUCGGAUUAGCUAGUUGGUGGGGUAAAGGCCUACCAAGGCGACGAUCCGUAACUGGUCUGAGAGGAUGAUCAGUCACACUGGAACUGAGACACGGUCCAGACUCCUACGGGAGGCAGCAGUGGGGAAUAUUGGACAAUGGGCGAAAGCCUGAUCCAGCCAUGCCGCGUGUGUGAAGAAGGUCUUCGGAUUGUAAAGCACUUUAAGUUGGGAGGAAGGGCAGUAAGUUAAUACCUUGCUGUUUUGACGUUACCAACAGAAUAAGCACCGGCUAACUUCGUG
rnacentral:rRNA from 1 species